CUAGAUCAAUUAACAGUUUUUUUAUCAUUGUAAUAUUAAAUGGUCACAAGCAGUAACUUACCUAAUGUUUAUAGCUUUAAAAAUAGUAUCCUACACCUUAAGUAUUUGGUGGUGGUAGUUAUCUAGCUAAGUAACUAUUUAUAUAUUUUUUAUUAUUUCAGAGAAAGCAUGUACACCAUCUAAAGAAGUAUGGAGAACUGACAGCAAACACACUGAAGAGAAAACAUGCCCCUAAAACUCCCUCCACCAUCAAGCAGGGCACAUUACUGAAGACAAUGUCUCAAAAAUCCACUGACAAAGCUGUGGUGAAGUACGUGGUCCAAGGGCUCCAACUAUUCGCUGUUGUAGAACAAGAACCGUUUAGAGAGUUUGUCCAGGAUCUGCAGCUUAACUCAAAAGAUCUUAUCAAGGCCCACACUGCACUCCAGGAUUGAUGAAGUCUCCAAGGAAAUUAAGAAGGUGACUGAGGCCAUGAGAGGAAUUGACCACAUCGCCACCACCACCGACUGCUGGUCUGCAAGAAGACUGAGCUUCAUUGGUGUUAUAUCCCACUGGAUAGACCUUGACAGUCUCAACAGAUGCUCUGCAGCCCUGCCUGAAAACGGUUGAGAGGAUCGCACACCUUUGAUGUGUUGGCAGGCGCCCUAAAUGACAUCUAUUCUGAGUUUGAAAUCCAGGUUAAGAUUGUGUGAACAACAACAGACAACGGCUCUAACUUGAAAGCUUUCCAAGUUUUUGGAGAAGGUGAAAACAACGAGACACUGGAAGCAGUGAAGCAGCUCAGCCAGGACAGGAAGAUGGGGAAGAGGAACAAGAGGAGAGUGAAGAAGUGGAGUUUGUUGAUGUGGCAACGAUCCUGAAUGAAGAUGAUGGUUUUGGGUACCAGCUGCAGAAGCACCAGCGCUGUGCUUACCACCUACUCAACUUAGUAUCUACAGUCGAUGCCCUGAAAGCAACAUCCAGUGAGGCUUACAAAAAAGUGUCCCAUUUAACAUUUGGCAAGUGCCAAGCACUUUGGAACAAAUGCGGAAGAUACACACUUGCAGCCAAAACGGUUGAAGAUGCUUGCGACCUCCAGCUGCUGCACCCAAAUGCUACGAGGCGGAACUCCUGAUUCAUGGCUGUAGAAAGACUCCUGAUGAUCGACAAAGGAGAGGCGGCCAUCAGAGUUCCCUGCACAGACUUCGAGGUUCUAAUGAAGGGACGACAUCAAGGAUCACCUGGAAGAACCCUUGCUGCAGCUAGGCGAUGGCACCAGUUCCAUCAGAUGAGGACUUCUUCCCUCCUGAGUGGCGCAGCGGUCUAAGGCACUGCAUCUCGGUGCUAGAAGUGUCACUACAGACCCUGGUUCGAUUCCAGGCUGUAUCACAACCGGCAGUGAUUGAUCGUCCGGGUUAGGGUUUGGUCGGGGUAGCCGUCAUUGUAAAUAAGAAUUUGUUCUUAACGGACUUGCCUAGUUAAAUAAAAUAAAUGAAGACGUCUCAAGCACAAGAAAGCUCCAAACAGCUGGACGGAUACCUGGCCUGUUCAACUGAUCAUAUGGAGUUGCUCAAGUCCUUCCCGGCAGUCUGUAAGCUGUCUCUGAGGCUAAACACACCCUUACCUGCAUCAACUGGCUUUGAAAGGCUGUUCAGCAUUGCAGGACUUGUUUUCAGCCCCAGGAGAGCAAGGGUAGAUUCCAUAAACUUUGAAAACCAGCUUUUACUGAAGAUGAACCAUAAAUCCUUCAACUUCAAAUAAUGACAGCUUAAUGCUAGCAAGGACACGGAUGCCUUAUGCGUUUUGUUCAUUUAUUUAAAAACUUCACCAGUUAUAGAUGUCCUUGUUACAAAGGCAUGACCUGACACACUGAUUUCUAAUACAGUUCCAUCAGUGGUGAUGUCCUUAUUGCUAUAGUGAGGUUGUGUGUAGUUCUGUACAUGUACUUUUUUAUUUUAUGUAUAGGGUCUAUUAUAGCAUGUUUUUUCUAAAGCAAAGUGACUGUGAUUGUAAGCUUACGUUUACUGGCUAUAUUCCUUCAUUAAGGCAUCAUUCUAUUUUGUCUGUAAGAUAUAUUUUGAAGUGUUGCCUAUUUGAGAAUCCUCAUCAUUUAAAAAAAUCUGAGCUCUUCUUGCAUCUGUAAGACUGCUACCUUUCAGAAAAGCUCAAACCAAAUAAAAGGUCUGGCUAUUUUGCUUUA